AACGAACGCUGGCGGCAUGCCUAACACAUGCAAGUCGAACGAGACCUUCGGGUCUAGUGGCGCACGGGUGCGUAACGCGUGGGAACCUGCCCUUAGGUUCGGAAUAACUCCCCGAAAGGGGUGCUAAUACCGGAUAAUGUCUUCGGUCCAAAGAUUUAUCGCCUUUGGAUGGGCCCGCGUUGGAUUAGCUAGUUGGUAGGGUAAAAGCCUACCAAGGCGACGAUCCAUAGCUGGUCUGAGAGGAUGAUCAGCCACACUGGGACUGAGACACGGCCCAGACUCCUACGGGAGGCAGCAGUGGGGAAUAUUGGACAAUGGGCGAAAGCCUGAUCCAGCAAUGCCGCGUGAGUGAUGAAGGCCUUAGGGUUGUAAAGCUCUUUUACCCGGGAUGAUAAUGACAGUACCGGGAGAAUAAGCGCCGGCUAACUCCGUG
rnacentral:rRNA from 1 species